ACAGAGCCCACGACUCCCUCGUCUCUCCCGAAUCGCCGCCACCAUUGCCUCGUCUCCCUUGCGCCGACCCUCCCCACCUCCCACCUCAAAGCUCUGGAGGCUGCCAGAUCCGCCAAAUCCCCACCCAACCGUCCCUCUCGCGUCCCAUCCCGAUCUCUUCAUGCGGCUCCUCGCCGCGCUACCUGCGGCGGCUCCAUCAGGUAAUGUUCGGCGAAUCCCACCACCGCGAAGCACAACCCGAGGUCCCUUCGCUCUGUGGAGCCCUCCCAUCCAGCUAGAUCCAGCGCUUGAGGCCACCACAACCCACCCGCGACCCAUCCCGCAUGGCUUGGUUCCGGGCGUCGGAUCUGUUGCCGGUGGCCAUGUCGUUGUCGUCCUCGUCUCAUCCGACUUGCGGGGAGGAACGUCCAGUGGACAACCUUGCUACGGCUCAGGAUGAAGCAGCCACGAGCUUCCUCUUCCGGCUUCAGGUGAGUUGGUCCACUCCUCCCUCUGCUCUGGUUCGUGGCAGAUCAGGAGAAAUUUUUGUUCUGGAGGUGUUAGGAUUUUCUACUGCUUGGGAGCAAGUGCCUGCUGGUUGAGGUCAAUUUGAUUUUGUUUUGCUGCUAAAGUGUCAAAACAGAGGACGACCACAUCCUGGAUUGAGUCCCGAUGUGUUGAGGCUGGGAAGGUCGGCAUGGCCUCCAACCAUGGCAAUACACCUACUAUGUUGCUGCCUUGCAAGCAGUAGUGGCUAGAAAUCAACCCCUGGCUGCAUAUUCUUUCUAGGGUAACAUCAUUGUAGGGAGGGAUUCUGUAGCCCAUCUACGCAGUAACCAGUGUGUUUGAGGCAAUUACUACACAAAACACCUAGGUAUAGUUAAAAACCAGGUUAGGGUCUAAUUAAUACAGUAUAUAUCUCCAAGGCCCUGAUUAUUUUCUUUUCCAAUCUUUAGUAUUCUCCUGUUUCAGGUUUUGACCAUGGCCAACAUAUAUUCUUUUAGGCUAAUUACUAAAUCAAUCUAACGAUGGUUCAUGUGGCAGCGGAGGUGUAGCAACGGCAGUUUGAAGCAGAUUAGGCGCCCGCGGGCGUCUUUGGCAGCGAGGCUGUCAAGUGAAGGAAAUGGCAGUGUGGCGAUUUGUUUUCUAUUCACAAUAUUGACUAAUAUCCUCUGUAUAUUUACUAACUCCGGAUCCAAGACUUUUAAAUAUAAAUUAUAACAUAGCAGAAGAAAGUCUGGCGAAAGUGUGGCGGUUUGUUUUCUAUUCUCCAUCCUUAAAGCUCAUAACAGAAGAAAGAACCAUACAAUUGACUUUAUCACUAUUGCUUUAUUAAGAAAAAAACCUGUCUUUUACGCAUGUAUUGAUGCUCCUUUUGACUCGAUUGUGUUGUAGGGAGUGAAAGCAUCCAGUUGGGGUGGUCUGCAGCUCUGGUCGCCUCCAGCAGCACUACAUAAUCAAAGUUCCAAACAAUAGUAUUGCACUGCUGCCUCCAGCCAACCACAACAUAAUCAUUGGUGUGUUUCUUAUCUAGAAGAUUUGAGUAAUCUGCGCGCACCAACUUGUUGUAGGGGGACACCAUGGAAGGUGUACAAAAUUAGCAAUGGAUCUCUAGGCUGGUGAUGACCAUGUAAAUUCGUUUCAGUGGAUUUGGGGCUGUACAUUUGUUCCAAAGCAUGGUGAGCACAUGUAGGUUUGUCUAUUUCCUGUUGGAUGACUGAAACCAACUAGAGCUAAAUGUUUUGGUUCAGUUUCCGAUGACAAACUAUUUUGGUUCAGUUUGCUAAUUAAAUGGAGAAGAGAAGAGAAGUAGUACUGUCACACAUUGCCUUUGAACGCACAACAGCUUAGGCUACUGUCCAUAUAAUGUUAUUGAGCCAUGUUGUUCUGCAGGCUAUGUCAUAUAUUGUGGCGUCUGGAUUAGUCAUCAAUGAUCAUGAACACUCAUGCUGGUGUAUUUUCAGAAUCAUAACAGGGACGUAGUUUGCUACAGUUCUAAGUUAUGAUCCUAAAUUUAAACUUGAUGGUGCUGAAAUUAAAGUACAUUUUGGGCAGUGUAAUACAACACUUGCAUAAACUGAAGAUUUGGUACAGAGUCGCAAAAACUGCAAUACUAUUGGUAAUGCAGAAAAAAAUAUUGCAUGGCCUUCAACCUUUAUUGAAAUGAUAUAUGGAUGAUUAUAUGGGUGCGUAACAAGUAUACUGCAACGAUGAUGAUGAUACUCUGGUUCAUGAUGAUGGAUGCUUUCAAUUUUAGUUAAGUUGUGGGACGUUCCUGUUGGACGAUGUUCCGCAAUUAGUUUUAGUUAAGUUGUAGGGAUGUUGAUGGAUGAUUUUAGUUUAGAUUUUGUUGUCAAGAAAAUAUUAGAUUAUGCAUC